CCCCUGCCCGGCCGCGGCGGGAACCCGGGCAGCAGCUGCCCUCAGCCUUGCCGCAGCCUCGCCCAGACACCUUUUCAUGGCCCUCCCCUCCACCUCCUGUUUUGGAGGUUGCCUCGCUCCAUUGCCCUCCGGGCGCCGCUCGGAAGCCCCACAUUCCCGGCAUAAGCAAUAACGGGGGUCCGGUUGCAGCCGGGGGGUAUGCCCAUAUGCAAUACACGCUCGCGCGCGCGCGCGCGCUCUCGCCGGUACACCCUGGGGCAUUGCACAGUUGCAAAAUGGAUUGUGUUUGCUUCCUCUUCCAAAAGGGCUUGGCCAGGCGGCCGGCUGGACUGCAGAUGUCUCUUCCAGGCUCCCGGAGAGCUCUCCUCCCAGCUGCCGUCUGCCUGCAAAACCUCCCACAACCCCACCCAGACCCUGGACUAGGGCCAACCAGCAUUUAUUAAACACCUUUUGAAUGCUCCCAGGCUGCUUCUGGCAAGAGAAGCAGGAGCCCCUAGCUCUGGGCUUAACUGUUAACGUUUAACCGGCUGGAAAAGCCCUUCCUUUCACCUUUCACCUUGGAGUCCCGUAGGUCCAGUCGCCAAGCCUUUUCUCCUGCCCUGCCCUACCCUGCCCAGAGCCAAGCACGAGACCAUGUGGCUGGGUUUGUGAGGGCCAUAAAGGCAGGAAAGCAAUGCCCUCUGUCCCUGAGGCUCCAAUGCCCUCCCUUCUUGGGAAAGCCCCCCCACCCCCCGAAAACAUCUGAAGAAGCAUCCUGGGAAGGAGGGGGUUGCUUAGAAAUCUUGCAACAUUUAAAAGGAUACCAAGGCUGGGGGAAAGCCAGCACAGUCCUCCAGCUCUGGGACUCUGGGCCUCCCAGGGUGGGUCGGGCUGGAUGGAAGGUGGGGAAGGUUUCAACAGGUACAGACAGCAAGAAGGACUAGGGUUAGACAUGAGCAAGGACUUGCCAUGCGUCUAACUAGAGUGGACUUCUGCCCUGUAAGCCUUGCUGGGCGAGGGGGACCUGGGUGGUUAGAGAGGACCCUUUGGUUCUGGGGCUGCCUGGGAAUGUGGGGGUGCUGACUAGUUAUUUGGGGUGAGGACAGGGAUCCUAGUUCCCUGGCCUAGAUCUUCCAGGAUCAUUGAUGGGGGAACAGGGGUUUCAGAAAGGGAGACUUAGAAGGGAGGGAGAGAAGGAUCAGGAAAGGGAAUCAGAGUGGGGCUGGGGAAGGGAGGAGGCAGGGAAUGGAGGUUUGAGAGACACAAGUCUGGGGCAGGGGGGCUCAGAAGUGACUGGCUGGGGCUGGAUUGGAGACUAAAGUUAGAAGAUCUGCUGCAGAUCCCAGACCCUCGAGUAGGUCCCACCCCAGGCGGCUGCCCUGCCCCCUGCCCAGCUCCACUGGCCAUGCACCCCCUGGGGCCCCGCCUGCAAGUGGGGGUAGUCGAGGUCCAGAUCCGCCCCCCUGACCCCUGCCCGUGGCCCCGCGGUGACAUUUGACCUUGUGGCGGCUGAGGUCCAGGGACAAAGAGGUCUGGGCCCAUCUGCCGCGGGGGCACCCGUGGGAACAGCCAGACCCCGCUCUGGGAGGCCUGGGAACCAGCCCCCGCCCCCUCCUCCGGCGCAAACUCCUUCCCCACCCCCCAACAGGUGACCUUGUCUCCUUUUGCCCCCUCCCCCACGGGCUACCAGGUGGGACUGGGGGCUAAGGUCGUUCUUGGACUCUCGGGAGGUGAGGAGAAGGACAAGAAGGUUGAUAAGGUUGGCUCCUCUGCCCAGCGCACGGGCGACAUUGCCCGCCUCAGUUUCCCUGCUGUCUUCCAAGCCUGCCUCCGUCCAGAGAGAGUGCUCAGGGGUCUGAAGGUCAGCAGCCCCAGCACUCCCUGAGGCCUCUGUGGAUCAGGAGGACCGGGUGCCGGCCAGGUGGCUGACUGACGCUGACCUCAGGCCUGUUUUGCCUUCCCGAGAGGCGGUCACCCAACACACACCAGCACAGAAAUGGAAGCCGAGGCUUGGCCAGAGACAGCCAGCCAGCAGGGUACUGCUCUCCCUCCUGGGUCCAGCAGAGCCG